AAUUCAUUUCUAACACCCAUUUUUUAAAAAAAAAACAAAAAACUCUGAAACCCCCUCUUCGUCCUCUGGCCUGAGUUCCAACAACGGCCGAUGACCACCGUUCACGCGCCUCACGUGCCAUCGUACACGGUGGUCGGAGGUUCUAAAUUUCUCCCCUUUCCAGGCAAAUCACAGGUAUCAUCGAGGAAUCCGGCAGUGACCGUGCUGGUGUGGAUUCGCGCGCUGAUCACGGAGGCAGAGUCACGGCGCUGAUGGAGGGCAGCUGAAACAACGGGAGUUGAAGAGGCGCAACCCUUAGGCUGAUUGCGGCGCGAACCCUAGCUAGGGUUUCUCUGCUGCUGAAAAUAAGUUAGGCUAAUUGGGCCAAUUAAAUAUUGGGCUAGUUUAGUAUAUCUGGGGUAGGGUAUAGCUGGGUAUGGUUGUUUGGGUCAAGGGUGUAAACGGGCUUAGCUGAAUUGUUUCGGUUUUGGGCCUACGGUUUGGGCUUUGUAACAUGGACUGUUUAAAUAAACAAACAUUUAUUUAUUUA